AUGAGGCCAGAAUUGGACUUUGGUGGCUGCUUCUCAUUUGAGACUCAGAGCCUUGCAAGUUAUUCCUCUCACGACCUGAUGAACUCGCUGAUUCUCAAAUGUUGCUGGGUACCAGAACACCUGGAGAACUUAGACAGCACACAGAAGAGCAGGCUGGUUGAAGGGGUUAUACCAACUUCCCAGUGUGACCUACAUUUCCUGGUGCCACUGAAAGAGAGAGAAAAUUCUGACGACAGUGUGCAGACUGGAUGA
rnacentral:lncRNA from 1 species